rnacentral:rRNA from 1 species
GACGAACGCCGGCGGCGUGCCUAAGACAUGCAAGUCGAGCGGGGAGACUUCGGUCUCCCAGCGGCGGACGGGUGAGUAACGCGUGGGCAACCUGCCCUUCAGCCCGGGAUAACUGCCUGAAAGGGCGGCUAAUACCGGAUGCGGUGAAACGGACGCAUGUUGGUUUCACGAAAAUUACGGUGCUGAAGGAUGGGCCCGCGUCCCAUUAGCUGGUUGGUGAGGUAACGGCCCACCAAGGCGACGAUGGGUAGCCGGCCUGAGAGGGUGGACGGCCACACUGGGACUGAGACACGGCCCAGACUCCUACGGGAGGCAGCAGUCGGGAAUCUUCCACAAUGGGCGAAAGCCUGAUGGAGCGACGCCGCGUGAGGGAAGAAGGUCUUCGGAUCGUAAACCUCUGUCCUCAGGGACGAUAAUGACGGUACCUGAGGAGGAAGCCACGGCUAACUACGUG